AGUGGCGGACGGGUGAGUAACACGUAAGAAUUUGCCUUUAGGAGGGGGACAACAGCUGGAAACGGCUGCUAAUACCCCAUAUGCUUUCGAGUGAAAUGGAUUUCCGCCUGAAGAGAAGCUUGCGGCUGAUUAGCUUGUUGGUGAGGUAAUGGCUCACCAAGGCGACGAUCAGUAUCUGGUUUGAGAGGACGAUCAGACACACUGGAACUGAGACACGGUCCAGACUCCUACGGGAGGCAGCAGUGGGGAAUUUUCCGCAAUGGGCGAAAGCCUGACGGAGCAAUACCGCGUGAGGGAUGAAGGCCUAUGGGUUGUAAACCUCUUUUUUCAGGGAGGAACAAAAUGACGUGUACCUGAAGAAUAAGCAUCGGCUAACUCCGUGCCAGCAGCCACGGUAAGACGGGGGAUGCAAGUGUUAUCCGGAAUCACUGGGCGUAAAGCGUCUGUAGGUGGUUAAGUAAGUCAACUUGUUAAAUCUUGAGGCUCAACCUCAAAAUCGCAGUCGAAACUGCUUGACUAGAGUAUAGUAGGGGUAAAGGGAAUUUCCAGUGGAGCAGUGAAAUGCGUAGAUAUUGGAAAGAACACCGAUGGCGAAGGCACUUUACUGGGCUAUUACUAACACUGAGAGACGAAAGCUAGGGUAGCAAAUGGGAUUAGAUACCCCAGUAGUCCUAGCUGUAAACAAUGGAUACUAGAUGUU
rnacentral:rRNA from 1 species